GCUGGGCAUGGUGGCUCAUGCCUGUAAUCCAAGGAGCUUGGGAGGCUGAGACACGAGGAUUGCAAGUUUGAGUUCAGCCUUAGCAAUUUAACAAGGUCCUAU
rnacentral:sRNA from 1 species